AUUUCCAAAGAAUGCAAACACUCCAGUGGGACCUGGCGUAGAAUAUAUGAGUUUCAAUCUCUCAUCAGCUUUGGAAGCUAGUUAAAAUGAAUCGGUCACACACUACAUAUGGGGUUGUCUCCCUGACCACCGCUGCGAGAAUGAGAUGAGGUUCAUCGACACACGCAGCAGCUAUAGGGCCUGAUGACUUUACAUGCUGUGCUUCUAUAGUUUCCAAAGAGCAGUUGCAACCUUAUCCUGCCUGCGUGACUCUGCUCCAUCGACGCACACAUCCAACCUUUGACUGUCACCUGACUCCGGCUCAGUGGUCGACGAUCUCUUUCUGUACAGUAAAAGUAGUUUCAUCUUAGAGAAAUUUACUUGUACUGAAGCAAAUCCAUUAACACAUUGAUUUGAAAAAUGGAAAGUUGAUUUUUUUUUAGACAUUGGCAAAUGGAUGAAAAUUACUUGUAGCAGUAAUUUUAUUUUUUAAAUUCAAAUACUCUCUUUUAGUUUAAUAGCUUGUUCAAUGAAUUGCUCUGAGACAAUUUCCUUAUAAAUGAAUAUAUAGGUAAAAUCUUUAGAUAUGGAAUGAAUGAGUACAAUUGCAUCUUAUUCUGCCUUGAAACAUUUUUUCUGUAUUGCAUCUUUAGAUGUAACAAGAAUUGCUAUUCCUGCUGACAAUUUAAAAUGUAUCCCAUACCAGAGUAACUUGCACACUUUUUAUACAAGUAGGUCCAUAAGGCCUUGCACACUACAAGGGAGCAUUUACCACAGCAGGAAGCUACAUUACGCCAUCUUAAUACAACGUAACAGUUUCUUUCUGUCUCUCCUUCUUUCCUUCUUUCUUUCUUUGAUAGUUAGCAAGAUUAGGGAAAACACAAAACCUAUUUCCAUUAAACUUUGUAGGGGUAGCCCAUGUGCCCAAGAAAGAAUUUAUUAUGUUUAGUCUAAAAUGCAGAUAUAGAAUAAAGGAAGGAAUUAUUCCACUGUGCCCCAAAAUUCAAAUGGCAGAAUGCCCUUUGUCCACUAAUGGCUAUCAUAUUUUCAUGUUUUAUUCAGAAUACAACCACUGGAAUGAAUGGAACAAAUGGAAUGCCCCUGUCUGAAUGCUUUAUAUGCUGAACGCCUUGAAUGCUAGAUGAACCAGAAAGUUUCUUGUUAAACAAAAAUAUCUCCUCAUGAGCUAGUAUUUGAGUCAAAUAGUAUUGAUUGUCAUAUUAAAUAGUCAAAUAGUAUUAUUGUGAUAUUGUAUUAUAUAUAUAUUUGAUUCAGGUCUCCUCAAUCAUGUAGAAUGACUGGAGGACUCCUUGGCAAGCAGCUCAAGCAGGUGAAACACCUGGAACACAAAGUCAAGGUCCAACCUUUCUAUGCACCGUUGUAUUGCGCUAAUGCUAGAUACUGGCAGGGCUACCAGAAGAGGAUGUACACGAGAGAGUGCAAUAAUCCCAUUUUGGUCUUUCCUGUGUAUGUGUGUGUGUAUGGGUGUAACAGUGUUGAAGGGUGAGAAAAAGCUUUCCAAGCAUAAGGGCAAAGGUAAAGAGGAGCAGACAAGAUAAGGAGAUUAGGCCAAAGGAGUCAGAAGACACUGAAAGGAAUCUACAAAAAAAACUCUGCUCAGUUCUUGGUUUAAUUUGUGAUUCCAAGUAAGAAUUCUGCUCAGAGUAGACAACACAGACCAUGUGUGCGAGGGAGCAUAAGCUGGGGCAUCUGGUUUUGUUAAGGCCCCGGAACAUUCCUUCCCUGUGUUGGACUUUGGCUGGCAGCUUUAAAGAGACAUGCUCACUCUCAUAUCCUGUUGGGCUAGUCUGGAAGACACACGGGAGGAUGGCUGUGCGUCUCUCAUGACAAAGCUGGGAAAAUGCAUAAGCAUACCGAUGACGGCACAUCGGCGGCUGUUGUUUGGAAGCUCAAGGAGGUCAUCAAGGGAAACUCUUACCAAGACGUGGAAAACAUCAGGACGGCCGUGAAGACGAAGAUGUGGCAGAAGGCAAAUGACAAACAUCAAUAGGUUUCUGACUGAAAUACAAAAUUACGCGUUUCGACUUGUACAAUCAAAACAAGCUAGAAAUCCUCAAUGGAAAUUGAGCAUUUUGAGGGGGAAGUUUAUUCUAUUAAAAAUGAAAGUUUUGUUGCAUGACAAAAUAGCAGAUAAUCAAAAUAAAUCAAGUAGAAAGUAUCUAACUUUGAAUAUUUGCAAAUUUCUAGAGACAUACUAGGCUGGAAUUUGCCAGAUCAGUUGAACCUUGGUUUUAUCGCAACAUAACAUUUUCCCACAUGCUUUGGGGAAAUGUUUUUAUUAUGGUAAAAAAAGGCCAAGGUUUAACUUGUUGGCCAAAAUUCCAAAAUGUAUACGCUAUUUAACACAAACGCGACAUAUUUAAUCACCAAACGAUCAUCAUACCUGCGG